rnacentral:rRNA from 1 species
GACGAACGCUGGCGGCGCGCCUAACACAUGCAAGUCGAACGGAGUUAUUUCAGCAGAAGCUUUCGGGUGGACGCAGGGAUAACUUAGUGGCGAACGGGUGAGUAACACGUGAGGAACCUGCCCUGGAGUGGGGGAUAACAGUUGGAAACGACUGCUAAUACCGCAUGAUGCAUGAUCAGGGCAUCCUGGACAUGCCAAAGAUUUAUCGCUGAAAGAUGGCCUCGCGUCUGAUUAGCUAGUUGGUGAGGUAACGGCCCACCAAGGCGACGAUCAGUAGCCGGACUGAGAGGUUGACCGGCCACAUUGGGACUGAGAUACGGCCCAG